rnacentral:rRNA from 5 species
ACGGGUGAGUAAUGCCUAGGAAUCUGCCUGGUAGUGGGGGAUAACGUUCGGAAACGAACGCUAAUACCGCAUACGUCCUACGGGAGAAAGCAGGGGACCUUCGGGCCUUGCGCUAUCAGAUGAGCCUAGGUCGGAUUAGCUAGUUGGUGAGGUAAUGGCUCACCAAGGCGACGAUCCGUAACUGGUCUGAGAGGAUGAUCAGUCACACUGGAACUGAGACACGGUCCAGACUCCUACGGGAGGCAGCAGUGGGGAAUAUUGGACAAUGGGCGAAAGCCUGAUCCAGCCAUGCCGCGUGUGUGAAGAAGGUCUUCGGAUUGUAAAGCACUUUAAGUUGGGAGGAAGGGCAUUAACCUAAUACGUUAGUGUUUUGACGUUACCGACAGAAUAAGCACCGGCUAACUCUGUGCCAGCAGCCGCGGUAAUACAGAGGGUGCAAGCGUUAAUCGGAAUUACUGGGCGUAAAGCGCGCGUAGGUGGUUUGUUAAGUUGGAUGUGAAAUCCCCGGGCUCAACCUGGGAACUGCAUUCAAAACUGACUGACUAGAGUAUGGUAGAGGGUGGUGGAAUUUCCUGUGUAGCGGUG